GUUUGGAACGGCUUUCAAUACCGCUGUCAUGAUUUGGGCAAGCAUGAAGGAUGGAAAGUUGGAAUUUAGUGGCAUGAAUCCCGAUGGCGAUGAAAUUGCUGAUAUUGAACGAGUGUGAACAAUAAUUACAAAAUUAAGGAACUGAAAUUGUUAAAUGCAUGCAUGAGUAAAUUUUGCAUUUGCAAUAACCUAUGUAGAAAUUAGUACUUUAUAUACUUUAAAGACAAAGGAAAUCACUGUGUCGGAG